rnacentral:rRNA from 1 species
UACGUAGGUGGCGAGCGUUGUCCGGAUUUACUGGGCGUAAAGAGCGCGCAGGCGGCUGGUCAAGUCCGAUGUGAAAGCUCCCGGCUUAACUGGGAAAUUGCAUCGGAAACUGAUCGGCUGGAAGGUGGGAGAGGGUAGCGGAAUUCCCGGUGUAGUGGUGAAAUGCGUAGAUAUCAGGAGGAAUACCGAUGGCGAAGGCAGGUCUCUGGGCUGACACUGACGCUCAUGCACGAAAGCGUGGGGAGCAAACAGG